UACGAAGGGGGCUAGCGUUGCUCGGAAUCACUGGGCGUAAAGGGCGCGUAGGCGGCGUUUUAAGUCGGGGGUGAAAGCCUGUGGCUCAACCACAGAAUUGCCUUCGAUACUGGUUGGCUUGAGACCGGAAGAGGACAGCGGAACUGCGAGUGUAGAGGUGAAAUUCGUAGAUAUUCGCAAGAACACCCGUGGCGAAGGCGGCUCUCUGGAACGCAACUGACGCUGAGACGCGAAAGCGUGGGGAGCAAACAGG
rnacentral:rRNA from 1 species